rnacentral:rRNA from 1 species
AGUGAACGCUGGCGGUAGGCCUAACACAUGCAAGUCGAACGGCAGCACAGGAGAGCUUGCUCUCUGGGUGGCGAGUGGCGGACGGGUGAGGAAUACAUCGGAAUCUACUUUUUCGUGGGGGAUAACGUAGGGAAACUUACGCUAAUACCGCAUACGACCUACGGGUGAAAGCAGGGGAUCUUCGGACCUUGCGCGAUUGAAUGAGCCGAUGUCGGAUUAGCUAGUUGGCGGGGUAAAGGCCCACCAAGGCGACGAUCCGUAGCUGGUCCGAGAGGAUGAUCAACCACACUGGAACUGAGACACGGUCCAGACUCCUACGGGAGGCAGAAGUGGGGAAUAUUGGACAAUGGGCGCAAGCCUGAUCCAGCCAUACCGCGUGGGUGAAGAAGGCCUUCGGGUUGUAAAGCCCUUUUGUUGGGAAAGAAAUCCAGCUGGUUAAUACCCGGUUGGGAUGACGGUACCCAAAGAAUAAGCACCGGCUAACUUCGUGCCAGCCGCCGCCGUAA